rnacentral:rRNA from 1 species
UACAGAGGGUGCAAGCGUUAAUCGGAAUUACUGGGCGUAAAGCGCGCGCAGGCGGUUUUGUAAGUUUGUCGUGAAAGCCCCGGGCUCAACCUGGGAAUUGCGAUGAAGACUGCAAGGCUUGAAUCUGGCAGAGGGGGGUAGGAAUUCCACGUGUAGCAGUGAAAUGCGUAGAGAUGUGGAGGAACACCGAUGGCGGAGGCAGCCCCCUGGGUCAAGAUUGACGCUCAUGCACGAAAGCGUGGGGAGCAAACAGGAUUAGAAACCCC